GCAGCCCCUUUUAUAGUGAGUCAGGCACGCCUGGCUGUUGCCAGGUAACUGUGGGGCGGAGCUUAGACAGAAUGCGAACAGAGGGCAUCCCACGGACUUUACUAAGAGUUUUGAUGUUAUCUGGUCUGAUCUGUAUUUGGCUUACUUUGCUCCUCAGAGAGUGAUAUAGGCACGCUCUGUUGCGUACUCCGGAUUGAGUUACUCAUCCCCAAGAAUGGCUUCCGUCCGGUGGCGCGCCGUGCUUGAACACAUCUAAAAUACACAACUCCCGGUCGACACUGGCUACAACACAUCAUGCAUGCACAUAGAAGUCAGAGGUCAGUUUGCUGGUGUCAAUUCUGUCUAUACCACGUAGGCUCCGGGGAUUGAACUCAAGGCCAUCAGGCUUGGCAUCGGACGAGGGGCCAUUUUGCUGGCAUUGGUUGCUCUUUUGGUAAAAAUGGCGCCUCUAAGCUACGGUUGUAGCUCGAAGGUGGAAAGCUUGUCUGGCACUCAAGGAGUCCCAGUCCUGUUCCCAGCGCUGCACACUCAAUCGAUCUCCAGCUACCAGGAAACACCGCCAUCUUGCCCCAUUGUGCGUACGCUUCUUCACCUAAGGAGAGCUGUUCUCCCUCUGUCCGGAAAUGUGACUGGUUCAGGAAAUGGUGGUCCCCAGUGCCUUCCCCUCCCCCAGCCCUUUUGUGGCUGGGCUCAAACUCACCACCCUUAGGUCUUAGCCUCUCAAAGGCAAGGAUUUCAGAUUGCACCGCCAUGCCCGGCUCCUUAAUUCUUCAAGCCUGAAUGUGGAGAGAGCUGAGUCAGCCAGAGGCAGGCUGACUCCGUGACAGGCUGCAAACUGGCCUAAAUUUCUGUUUCCCAGAAUCAAGAACCCAGAUCCAGGAACCUGAGGUCAGCCAACCACCGCCUCGGGCAUCCAAUCCCAGGGCACCUUGUCAUCCGGCCAGAAGUAAGAACAGGUCCCAAACAGGAAGACCCCCCCACGCAGGAAGUUCAGCUGAAGACGCAUUGUUUGCUUUUGCACACUCUUUGAGCCUGGGGUAUCGUUCUUCAGAGAUUCUUGGACCCUCACCAUGUCUUACACUGCAGUGCUCUCUCAGCCAAGCGUAUAUGACGCACACAACACACGUCACCGUAACGUCGAUGGAGUCUCCAUUAGGCAAAAUGCAGCCCAAGUUCAGACGACCUACUCCAAUCACAGCACCCCCCUUUACCCAACUCCUAGCACGAUGACCCUAACGGCAUCAUAGAUACUCGUCUGAUGUUUAUUUUAUUUUUUAUAUAAAUUACUUUUAUUUUA
rnacentral:sRNA from 1 species